rnacentral:rRNA from 1 species
UGUAAGCGUAUACCAAAGUUGUUGCAGUUAAAACGCUCGUAGUCGGAAUUUGGCAGUUCCGGAUGUGUGCACGUCGUGUGCGCACUUCGCGGGGAUUGCUUUUGUGGUCUUGCGUAGGAUGAGGCACUUUUAUUAGUGAACGUCCUCACGCAACCACUUUUUACUGUGCGAAAAUCAGAGUGCUCAAAGCAGGCAUUUGCCGUGAAUGUAUUAGCAUGGAAUAAUAGAAUAGGACUUGGUUCUAUUUUGUUGGUUUGUUGGGACUGAGUAAUGAUUAAGAGGGACAGUUGGGGGCAUUUGUAUUUCGGUGCUAGAGGUGAAAUUCUUAGAUUACCGAAAGACAAACUGCUGCGAAAGCGUCUGCCAAGGAUGUUUUCAUUGA